rnacentral:rRNA from 1 species
UACGAAGGGGGCUAGCGUUGUUCGGAUUCAUUGAGCGUAAAGGGUGCGUAGGCGGCGCGGUAAGUCGGGUGUGAAAUCUUGGAGCUUAACUCCGAAACUGCAUUCGAUACUGCCGUGCUUGAGGACUGGAGAGGAGACUGGAAUUUACGGUGUAGCGGUGAAAUGCGUAGAUAUCGUAAGGAAGACCAGUGGCGAAGGCGGGUCUCUGGACAGUUCCUGACGUGAGGCACGAAGGCCAGGGGAGCAAACGGG